rnacentral:misc_RNA from 1 species
AUGGAUGAAAGUAAAAGGGCUGUGCCUACAUCCAAGGGUCAAGCACUUGCUGAUGAGUAUGGUAUCAAAUUCUUCGAAACUAGUGCAAAAACAAACUUGAAUGUGGAGGAGGUUUUCUUUUCCAUUGCAAGGGAUAUCAAGAAAAGGCUUGCAGAAACUGAUUCCAAGGCUGAGCCUCAAACAAUCAAGAUUAACCAACCAGACCAAGCAGCCAGUGGAGGCCAAGCAGCUCAAAAGUCUGCUUGUUGUGGUUCAUAAAGUGGAAUCUAAGCAACAGACUGAGGGGGAAGGUUAUGCCAGUGACAUCCAUUGGAGUCAAAUUAAUUCUGAUGAAAUUGUGCU